CGUGUAGGCGGCCAGAUAGGUCUGUUGUGAAAACUCGAGGCUCAACCUCGAGACGCCGAUGGAAACCAUUUGGCUAGAGUCCGGAAGAGGAGAGUGGAAUUCCUGGUGUAGCGGUGAAAUGCGCAGAUAUCAGGAAGAACACCCGUGGCUAAGGCGGCUCUCUAGUACGGUACUGACGCUGAAGCGCGAAGCGUGGGAGCGAACA
rnacentral:rRNA from 1 species